UACGUAGGGUGCAAGCGUUGUCCGGAAUUAUUGGGCGUAAAGAGCUCGUAGGCGGUCUGUCGCGUCGGCUGUGAAAACCCGAGGCUCAACCUCGGGCCUGCAGUCGAUACGGGCAAACUGGAGUACUGCAGGGGAGACUGGAAUUCCUGGUGUAGCGGUGGAAUGCGCAGAUAUCAGGAGGAACACCGGUGGCGAAGGCAGGUCUCUGGGCAGUAACUGACGCUGAGGAGCGAAAGCGUGGGGAGCGAACAGG
rnacentral:rRNA from 1 species